rnacentral:lncRNA from 1 species
CUAUUUAAUAGCAGGACAAGCAGCAGCAUCUGAAAAGCACAUAAGCUUAAUUGAUUCCAGGCGCAGCCAGCCUGGAUUUUGUUUCCUCUUAUUCCAACUUUCUGACCUUGUAAAAAUUAUCUUGAUUGUGUUACGCUAAAACAAGGCCAUGAUCUUGCAAAAACUACCACGCGUGUUGCUGCUGAGCGGCGUUGGGUAAAGCGCGGUGGAUGGGACAAAUGUUGACAGCGUCAGGCCCCGAGUCCGUCUGUUUGCUCACCUUUGCUUACAUCUAAUCACGGUGAAGCAAUAGUCUGACUUCUGCUCAAAGCUGGAUCUGGGUUUUUGGUUUUAAAGAGGCAAAAAAUGUGCAGCAAAACUUGAUGAUCUAAGGUGAAGGAUAGGUUUAAUGUUCUUGCAGUCGUUUAAGCUACUGGAAUUCUUUGACAUUUAGACUUGGAGAUAUAAAAAGGAUUUAAAAAAAUACUUAUUGCCUAUCGUUUUUCCAGAACUUUUUCUUUUUUCCUUGUGUAGUUGAGAUCUAUGUUUUUCAAAAGAUUAUUUCUAGGCAUUGGUAUGAAAGUUUAAGGACUCGCUGGCUUUGAUGAUAACUCUUACGAUGACAUUGUGCCUUUGUAUAAAUACAUACAUUAAAAAAAAAAAAAAAAAAAGCCCAGGACAGUAUAAAGUGUUUGAUGUGCUGCUGUCUUUGGCACUGGAAAACUUCUGAGUAUAAUUGUAUUUUCUGCCUGACAAAAAUCCGAGGCCCACCUACACUGAUCCUUUUAUUGCAAUACUUGCUGCUGCUCCCGGUAUUAGGGAAUCUGCAGCUUGCUAGCCUUAAAUCUCUGUGAAGACUUGCAACAAAACAAACAGAAAACAAAACAAAAGAUUAACUACUAAAUAAAUAAAUAAAUAAAUCUAGUAUUUGGACCAAGCAUGUGAUUCCUGUCUUUAUUUCUCUGAAGGUUCUCCUCUUAUUCUUUUUCAGGAUCAAGAAUAAACUGUGUAUUUUUGUCUUUGUCGGAAAGGCUCCCAUGGGGCAAUCCUCCUAAGCACUGGGAUUGCCUGUUUGGCAGCAAGGAGGCUUAUAAAAAGCAACUCCAGGUGGAAGUGGGCCUUUUCCUGCUCCUCCCUCCACACUGCUGCAAUUCCCUGUCGUCGAGGCCCUGAGAACAGCCUGCCUUUGAGACUGAGCUGCAAGUUUGUAGAAGAGCAAGUGAAAUCCUGCCUUCUGAGAAGCGGUGGAAUAAUCUGUGUGCUCAGUGCUAAAAAUACGGCGUGUUCUGGCUUGCAUUUUUUCAGAGAGAAAACAAUUGGUCCAUUGCUUAAAAGUUGUGCCACUCGGCGCAGCGAUGCUUACUGUGCGGCCUACUAA